GACGUAGGGCGCGAGCGUUGUCCGGAUUUACUGGGUUUAAAGGGUGCGUAGGUGGGUAGGUAAGUCAGUGGUGAAAUCUUCGAGCUUAACUCGGAAACUGCCAUUGAUACUAUUUAUCUUGAAUACUCUGGAGGUAAGCGGAAUAUGUCAUGUAGCGGUGAAAUGCUUAGAUAUGACAUAGAACACCAAUUGCGAAGGCAGCUUACUACAUAGUUAUUGACACUGAGGCACGAAAGCGUGGGGAUCAAACAGG
rnacentral:rRNA from 1 species